CACAACCAACCAAGAAUCUAUCUUAAAUCAAAUCAAAAGCAAACCCAGCACCCAUCAGGGAACUUUGAAGAGACCAAUUUCCAAUGGUUUCUCCCUCAACGAUUGGGGGAUAGUUGUCUUGAAGGGAACUCGUCCUCAGUUCGGAUUGUAGGCUGCAACUCGCCUACAUGAAGCUGGAAUUGCUAGUAAUCGCCGGUCAGCCAUACGGAGGUGAAUUCGUUCC
rnacentral:ncRNA from 1 species